rnacentral:rRNA from 1 species
GAUGAACGCUGGCGGCAUGCCUUACACAUGCAAGUCGAACGGCAGCACGGGAGCAAUCCUGGUGGCGAGUGGCGAACGGGUGAGUAAUAUAUCGGAACGUGCCCAGUCGUGGGGAUAACGUAGCGAAAGUUACGCUAAUACCGCAUACGAUCUAAGGAUGAAAGCGGGGGAUCGCAAGACCUCGCGCGAUUGGAGCGGCCGAUAUCAGAUUAGGUAGUUGGUGAGGUAAAGGCUCACCAAGCCGACGAUCUGUAGCUGGUCUGAGAGGACGACCAGCCACACUGGGACUGAGGCACGGUCCAGACUCCUACGGGAGGCAGCAGUGGGGAAUUUUGGACAAUGGACGCAAGUCUGAUCCAGCCAUUCCGCGUGCAGGAUGAAGGCCCUCGGGUUGUAAACUGCUUUUGUACGGAACGAAAGGUUUCUAUUAAUACUAGGAGCUCAUGACGGUACCGUAAGAAUAAGCACCGGCUAACUACGUGCCAGCA